rnacentral:lncRNA from 1 species
AGACUUUGGGCUGAAUAAUUAAUCCAAUUUCUUAAACAUGGAUUUUGAGUCGAUAGUAACUAUGAAAGGAUAUGAGUAGACCCUCAAGUUGUUCUUCGUGCUUAAAUUUGCCUAAUAAAGCGAAUUACAAUAUAGCAUGACCAAAAUAAAAUGAAAUAAUUUAAUUUUAAACUUAUCCCCGAGGGUUCAUCAAAAUUAAAUUAAAUUACAAGAAAAUAAUCAAAUAAAUACAAGCAAAUAAAGCAAAAUAUGAGAAUUGGGACCCUUUUUAGCCCAUUUUCUAUUCUGUCCAGCAUUGGGCCCAUUUUAAUGGACCUUUUUUCAACCCUUUUUCCAGCUGUAUAUCCUCUGUAAAUCAACUUUCUUUAUCCUUGCAUUUUCCCGUGUAUAUGCGGUAUAUGUAUGUAUAUGAAUCCAUAUAUUUGCUUCCAACUUCAUUAUGGUGUAUAGCUUCUACGUCACAAUGUAUAUAAAUCGUAUAUAAGUGUAUAGCAGCCUAUUCCAUGUAUAUUUGAUGUAUAUCUGCGUAUUUAGUGUAUACCAACCCCUUUAGACUUGGUUUUGAAGCAUAGACUCAAAAGAUUAGAGCCUUCUUUGUCCUUUAAGGAGAUGUGGGGGAGUUUAGAGUCCCGUGGACUCAUGAGGAGUAUUCAUGCAAUGAAAAGGAGAUAAGAAAUUAGCAAUAAGCAAAAGAACUAAACAACAUCGAACUAAGAACAACCAUAUACUAAGUCUCAACUCAAAAAACCAUUCAAGAGCAUUUCAAGUGCACAUUAAAGAUAAGUCAUAAUUUUAAAUGUUUAAAGAAACCUCUAAUGGUCCCAAGCCGGGGGUCUAUCAGAAACAACCUUUCUACUUCUCUUGAGGUAGUGGUAUGGUCUGCGUACACUCUACCCUCCCCAGACCCCACUAGGUGGGAAUACACUGGGUAUGCUAUUGUUGUUGUUGUAAAGAAACCUCUAAUGACCUACAUAUGAUAAGUAGCAUUACCACAUAGCUAUUAAACAUGUUUUAAACUAACCAAAUGGUAACCUUAGAUUUACAAUAAGAAAUAUGUUUAGGCUAUUGGAAUGAAUUGCUACCCCCUAAACUUAGUGACUAGAAAAAUGAUCAUGUCAAUCGCACCAAAUUAGUUUGAACUAACCAAUUAUCAUCUAUCAAUUAUUUUACACACACAUAUUGAGACUACAUCAAUUGAAACCAACGAUGUUCAACAUAUACAUAAUUUAAAAUAGGAAUAAGAAAAUUAGAUUCGCACAAAGGUAAUUUAGGCAAAAAGUACAUUAGGUCCAUGUAAACAAAAUGCGAGAACGAACAUACAUAACUUAGCCACUGCAUAAUUAUUCGAGUGAACAUUUAGCAUGUUAGUCUCAACACGAGAGAACAAAGCAAAUUAUGAAGUCGCUUUACGAACUCAAGCACCACAGUUACAUAGAUGUAGAUAAAAAUGCCAAAACAGGUUCAAACAAGCGCACAUUAACAUCAAGACUAGGUAUGAGACAAAACUCUUCACCUAUUAAGUAAAAAAUUUAAAAGAUAUUAGUACAAGUAUGAAUAUCAAAAUCAUUCAAAGCACCAACAAAUAAACAAGACUAGCUAGCCCAUACAUUAACAAAUUAUAUGUUUUCAAACUUAGUCAUUCCCCAGCAAAUAAUAUUUAGACGAACAAUGGAUUGAACUAUAAUAACAACAUUUGAACUAUAAUAACAACAUGAAACUAUGGAAUUUAAAGAAUUAGAAUUAUGAAACUAAGCAUUCAAAUAAACCAGUAUGGCAAGAUAUAUCGAUUCAACAGGCAACAUAACCACACGCAAAUUCUGUGACCAUUGAGGCUUUUAUAGCAAAUAGUCCCUCCAUUAAUAUGCUUACGAAUAAUAUGAAUAAAUAUGAAGAAGAAAAGAGGACAACGAAGAAGAGAUAACAAACGAAUAAUAUGAAUAAAUAUGAAGAAGAAAAGAGGACAACGAAGAAGAGAUAACAAACUAAAAAGAAAAGUGUGUUUACCUUCUUCCGGGCAGUGAAUCGGGACGAUGAGUUCACGAUGACUUCACCAACUUUUUUGAUUCCAAAACAACAAGAAUAUAUAAAAGACUGAGCUAAAAUUCCCAUAACUCCAGGCUAGGGACCGAAGUCCAAAAUCCUAGUCGAGUAAAGAGAAUUCGUAGCCCCUUUGUCGUUCUCAAAAAACCCCCUCCCCAGCGAAUUCGAAGUAGUAUUUAUAGAGGAAACUAAAAAUUAGAAAACUAAUUUUAACGAUGUGGGAGUAGAAAUUCAGGGGUCUUUUGGGGAUUUCAAAUUAGAGAUAAGGUUAGUGAUGUGGAAGCUAGAAUCGUACCAUUCUUGUACGAAUUUACAAUUCAAAAUUCAAACGAGGAUGAGGUAUCAAUAUCGGGUCGGAACAAUCGGGUUCUUGACAGGUUGUUUUGCUGCCUCAGUUACGGGCUGGGGAUUUAGUCGCUGUUAACGUCGAUGUUGACGUUGCUGGAGUAGUUUUUUGCUGCUAACGCCGUCAGUUGAAGUUAUUAUUGUCGUUAUAUUGCUGGGUUUUUUUGUUGAUCGAUAUUAUUGUUGGUUGCUGUUAAAGUUGCUGGCGUUAUGUUAUUGGAUCAGGUCAUGGGGAGAUAGGGGUUAAAAGAAAGAGAAUUGGGUUUGGGCUGAGCUGGUAGCUGGGGUAGAAGGGAUUUUGGGUUGGAGGCCCAAUUUGAGAAUAGAAAAA